UUUGUUUUCUGUAGACCCACAUCACUGGAAACACCUCAAAGAAUAACUAUGGUUUCCUUUACUGACAGAAAUACAUGUUAGAUCUGUGGGAAAGAACUAUAAGGCAGAG
rnacentral:snoRNA from 1 species